rnacentral:lncRNA from 1 species
GAGAGAGAGAAACACAUAGCAGCGCAUGCACACUUAUACUCAGAAAUUCUCCCAGGCCACUCCUCUUUCCACCUGCUGCUCCCACAGUUUCGUUCCUAGCCUCUCGUAGAAUUUCUUUCGAUAAAAAGGGGAGAAAAGAGCGGGACAAGCUCCUAUGUGUUUUGUAUACGUAAAUACUUGCACACGAAAACGAGAGGAUCGUUUGCGUUCGGUAAAAUCUUAUGUUAGUGAGAAUCAGGCCUUCUCUUCUGGAUAGAAACCAAUACUAUAUCGAUGGAGAAGACCGUGAAGCGAAAGUGAACUGUAUUUUCUCUCUCUCUCUCUCUCUCUCGUACGCACACGCACACGUAUACAUAUAUUUGAAUAUAUAUAUAUAUAUAUAUAUAUAUACGCAAGCGUACAAACAGUUAUCGUCGUCUACUAGCGCAACGACAACGUCCUUGGCGGGAUAUUUAAAAAACUACUCUACUGCUAAUUCGAAUUUCUUCGAAAUUCGAACCAGCUUAAAUUCAAUAAGAUUUCUUUCCAGUUUUAUUUUUGUAUGAAAUAAAAUUGGUAGUUGGUUUUUUUUAGUUUGGUGAUAGUGAAAUUAAUUGAACGAUAAAUUGCAUAUUUAUUUUGCGAGUUAUCUUUCGCCGAGUUACAGAGUUUCGUACGAUCAAUGUUGCGUCGAACCACUUUAUUCAUGCGGUUUUAAAACACACGCGUAUACAUAUACAUAUAUAUAUGUAUGUGUAUAACACACAAAUUGUAUAUAUAUAUAUAUAUGUACAUAUAUAUAAUAUAUAGAUUUCGAUCUAUUCGAUUGAAGGAAUGUAACCGAGAGUGAUAUUGGUGAAAUUUUGGGGAAAACUAUUAUCUUUGCCAGGUAUAUGUUAAAAUUGUAGUGACUGUAUAUAUAUAUAAACGUGGUGACCACCAUACUACAGCAGAUGAUUCUACGGAUGCGAAAAUCAAUACUUCGUACGUGAGAUAAACGUUUUCUCUCUUAUAUCAUUAUAGUUUACUGACUAAUAUUCUUACAAAAUAUCCGAUCAAGAUUUGUGUCGAGAACAAAAUUCAAACGAAGAACGAAAUAUGUAAAAGAAACAAAAAAUAGAACGAACAUUUUUAAACGAUUCGAUCGAAAUCGAAGUCGAUUUUUAACGAAAACUCUUGUAUAAUUUUUGAUCUUACAACAAAAUUAGAAAAAAUACAA